rnacentral:other from 1 species
GUUAUACUGCGACGUUGGUGACUGCCACAAAGUUUUUUGAUCUAUGUCUUUAAAAAUAAGGGAACCGAUUAUUGCUCGUGGCAGUAGACCGGGCUUGUACCCGGAAACUUUAAACGAGACAGCAGGUGCCCACCUGGUUUAUCCAGGUCAUAAACUUAGGUAAAACGGCGUCGCGGUAUCACA